UGGGGAAUUUUACGCAAUGGGGGAAACCCUGACGUAGCGACACCGCGUGAGCGAAGAAGCCUUUUGGGGUGUAAAGCUCUGUCAGCUGGAAAGAACACAAUGACGGUACCAGCAGAGGAAGCAUCGGCUAACUACGUGCCAGCAGCCGCGGUAAGACGUAGGAUGCAAGCGUUGUCCGGAUUUAUUGGGCGUAAAGAGUUCGUAGGCUGUUUGUUAAGUCUGGUGUUAAAGACUGAGGCCCAACCUCGGAAAUGCAUCGGAUACUGGCAGACUUGAGUACGGUAGAGGCGAGUGGAAUUCCCAGUGUAGCGGUGAAAUGCGUAGAUAUUGGGAAGAACACCGGUGGCGUAGGCGACUCGCUGGGCCGCAACUGACGCUGAGGAACGAAAGCCAGGGGAGCGAAUGGGAUUAGAUACCCGCGUAGUCC
rnacentral:rRNA from 1 species